rnacentral:rRNA from 1 species
UACCUGCAGCUCGAGUGGUGGCCGCUAUUAUUGGGCCUAAAACGUCCGUAGCCGGUCUUGUAAAUGCCUGGGUAAAUCGUGUCGCUUAACGAUACGAAUUCCGGGUAGACUGUAAGACUUGAGACCGGGAGAGGCUAGAGGUACUCCUGGGGUAGAGGUGAAAUUCUGUAAUCCUAGGGGGACCACCAGUGGCGAAGGCGUCUAGCUAGAACGGGUCUGACGGUGAGGGACGAAGCCCUGGGGCGCAAACCGGAUUAGAUACCCGGGUAGUCCAGGGUGUAAACGCUGCUUGCUUGAUGUUAGUCGGGCUCCGAGCCCGAUUAGUGUCGGAGAGAAGUUGUUAAGCAAGCUGCCUGGGAAGUACGGUCGCAAGAUUGAAACUUAAAGGAAUUGGCGGGGGAGCACAGCAACGGGUGGAGCGUGCGGUUU